rnacentral:rRNA from 1 species
GUCCACGCCGUAAACGAUGGGUGCUAGGUGUGGGGGGUGUCGACUCCCUCCGUGCCGAAGCUAACGCAUUAAGCACCCCGCCUGGGGAGUACGGCCGCAAGGCUAAAACUCAAAGGAAUUGACGGGGGCCCGCACAAGCAGCGGAGCAUGUGGUUUAAUUCGACGCAACGCGAAGAACCUUACCUAGGCUUGACAUGCACGGGAAUGUCGUGGAAACACGGCAGCCCUUCGGGGCUCGUGCACAGGUGUUGCAUGGCUGUCGU